rnacentral:rRNA from 1 species
GUUGGGAAUAUUGGACAAUGGAGGAAACUCUGAUCCAGUGACGCCGCGUGAAGGAAGAAGGUCUUCGGAUUGUAAACUUAUUUUGUCAGGGAAGAAUAAAUGACUGUACCUGAAGAAAAAGCACCGGCUAACUACGUGCCAGCAGCCGCGGUAAUACGUAGGGUGCAAGCGUUAUCCGGAUUUACUGGGUGUAAAGGGCGAGUAGACGGCGAUGCAAGUCAGAUGUGAAAUGCUAGGGCUUAACCUUAGAACUGCAUCUGAAACUGUAUUGCUAGAGUGCAGGAGAGGUAAACGGAAUUCCUAGUGUAGCGGUGAAAUGCGUAGAUAUUAGGAGGAACAUCAGUGGCGAAGGCGGUUUACUGGACUGUAACUGACGUUGAGGCGCGAAAGCGUGGGGAGCAAACAGGAUUAGAAACCCUAGUAGUCC